rnacentral:ncRNA from 1 species
GCCGGGCCACCGGAGAGGUGGCAGAGUGGUUGAAUGUACCUGACUCGAAAUCAGGCAGGCGUUUAUAGCGCCUCGGGGGUUCGAAUCCCCCCCUCUCCGCCAGACGCAAAUAAAAAGGCCCCCUCGCGGGGCCUUUUUAUUUGCAUCCGGUGAGGGGUGGCC